rnacentral:rRNA from 1 species
UACGUAGGUGGCAAGCGUUGUCCGGAUUUAUUGGGUUUAAAGGGUGCGUAGGCGGUCUAUUAAGUCAGUGCUGAAAUAUCCCGGCUUAACCGGGAGGGUGGCAUUGAUACUGAUGGACUUGAGUAAAGUUGAGGUAGGCGGAAUUGACGGUGUAGCGGUGAAAUGCUUAGAUAUCGUCAAGAACACCGAUAGUGUAGACAGCUUACUAAGCUUAACUUGACGCUGAGGCACGAAAGUGUGGGGAUCAAACAGG